UGAUUGCCCGGGUAGAAUCACAGU
rnacentral:piRNA from 1 species